rnacentral:rRNA from 1 species
GACAGAGGGUGCAAACGUUGUUCGGAAUUACUGGGCGUAAAGCGCGUGUAGGCUGCUUCGCAAGUCGGAUGUGAAAGCCCGGGGCUCAACUCCGGAAUUGCCUUUAAAACUGCAUCGCUAGAAUUGUGGAGAGGUAAGUGGAAUUCCGAGUGUAGAGGUGAAAUUCGUAGAUAUUCGGAAGAACACCAGUGGCGAAGGCGACUUACUGGACACAUAUUGACGCUGAGGUGCGAAAGCGUGGGGAGCAAACAGG